GGUAUUGAAAUAAGAUUUUAAAUGAGUGCUAAGAGAAUGAUUAAACAAUUAAAAGCUUUCUUUAAUUAAAUAAUUAAAUUUAAUUUUUUUAGUGCAAAAGCAAAAAUAAAAUUUAGGGACAAGAAGACCCUAUGAAUUUUUAUUUUUAAUAAUUAAAAUUUAAAUUAUUAAUAAUUUAAUUGGGGCGAUAAAAAAAGAAUAAGUAUCUUUUUAGUUAUAAAAUAAGUUCCGUUUUUAGCGAUUAAAUGAAAUAAAUACUCUAGGGAUAACAGCGUAAUAAUUUUGGAUAGUUCAUAUAGAUAAAAUAGUUUGCGACCUCGAUGUUGGAUUAGGAUUCUUUUUUGGUGAAGAA
rnacentral:rRNA from 1 species